AUCGCUCCUCGGCCUUUUACCUAUCAUCGUUAGCAGACAACUGUUCUUGUCAGCUUAAUACCUGGUACGGGGCCAAGGGGCCCUGAGGCAUUAAUCUUAUUUUGUGGAAUAGCCUUCUUCACGAGCUUGCUCUGAAGAUGGUAGGGUCAGGCCGGCGUUGCAUAGCUGCCAAGAUUCGCCCAUAUCUU